GUCCUCCAGCGCUUUGUUCUCCGCGCUGGCCAUAGGCACGGCGUAGCCAUCGUCCCACUGCAGCUCGGCCAGCACCGAGGCGGCGGAGCAGCUGCCGGCGCUAUCCAUGGCUGCGGGCAGCGGCCGCCGAAGGGAAAGCGGCGCUGACGGGCCCCUUGGCAACGGCGGGGCCCCGGUGACCGACCUGAGGGGAGGUGGCCGAGCCGGGAGCCGCCUCCCGCCCCGCCCCGCCCCGCCCCGGCCCGGCCCGGCUUGCCCCGGCGGUUCGCGGCGUCCCUCCAGCGGGCAUCCUGCCCUUCGGACGGCCUCACAGGGGGCCACAGCCGGUGGCGGGGCGGCCGAGGAGCUUAGACAGUGUGGUGGUGGCUGCGGGGCCCCUCCGGAGCCGGGAAGGGGACAGCGUGGGAUCCGCAGCGCCACCCAGCCGGCACCUGCCGCCUCAGCCGGGUCGUUCAGUCAGCACUUCACGCCUCAGAGCUCAGAUACCACAGACACCGUCAGUCUGCCAGACCCCCAAACUUGCCUUCUCUGUAGUGAGACUAAAAGCACAGCCCUUCCAUUUCCUUUUUUAAUUCUCUCUACCUUCUUGUCUUCAGAAAUCUGAAAAUUUCUAAGUGCUUAAAUCAACUCAUAAGUAGGUCUGUUUGUAGCAGCUACCAGAAUUGUCUGAAGACAACCUUGUCCAUAAUCGCUUGUAACCUUACUGAACUCGAACUCUUACUCUUCAGACAGAUGCCUUUGGCUGACACACUGCUAGCAGCACUCCAGAAUUCCCCCUAGUUCAGUGCUUCAUGCCAGAACCUGAAUUUGUCACAGCUGUGUAAAAUCUGGGGUCAAACCAUGUAGCACAGCUCACCUGUUGUUGAUAAUGCCUAACACUUCCACACAUGUGCAUGGUACAUAUCCUGCUUUUGAACAGGUCUCUAGCAUUAUCUCUUAACAGAUGGGUAUACUAAGACUGGUAAUGCAGUGGAAUAAGCAAAAAUGAGAAGAGAGACUGAAGGGACAGCACUAGUGACUAUGAGAUCAGAACAAGUCAGAAGUUUGAAGGAUGGAGGAUCUGGUCUGACAAUGAUUUACAUAUUGACCAAAAUGUCAGUAUAGAAACCAGGAUCUUCCAACUUGGAUAGGAGAGAUAUAGUCACAUAAAAGGAAUGGAAAAAUCAACUGCAGAUGAGGACUGUCCAGUGACAUUCAUUUCCACCUUCAGUCUGCUUGACAGUCUCCAGCCACUCAGCUUGAGCUGAUAAAACCUUGCACUGGCCACUGUGCAGAGAUGACGUUCUCUUUGUGGAUGUGUCCUGCAGUGGCCUUUGUGGUUUCGUCUGCUUGGGUAAGCAGCUAUUGCCCGAUCAGGAAUGAAACUGAAGAGUGUCAUUAUUAUCUAAUAAUGACUAUUUUAAGUAGGUUUAAUGGCUGAAU